rnacentral:rRNA from 1 species
UACGUAGGGCGCAAGCGUUGUCCGGAAUCAUUGGGCGUAAAGAGCUCGUAGGUGGUCUGUUACGUCUGCUGUGAAAUCCUAGGGCUUAACCCUGGGCCUGCAGUGGAUACGGGCAGACUAGAGGUAGGUAGGGGAGAAUGGAAUUCCUGGUGUAGCGGUGGAAUGCGCAGAUAUCAGGAGGAACACCGGUGGCGAAGGCGGCCUUCUGGACAGUGACUGACGCUGAGACGCGAAAGCGUGGGGAGCAAACAGG